GGCGGCAGGCUUAACACAUGCAAGUCGAGCGGUAGCAGAUCUAGCUUGCUAGAUGCUGACGAGCGGCGGACGGGUGAGUAACGCGUAGGAACCUGCCCAGUAGUGGGGGAUAGCCCGGGGAAACUCGGAUCAAUACCGCAUACGCUCUACGGAGGAAAGAGGGGGCUUCGGCUCUCGCUAUUGGAUGGGCCUGCGUGAGAUUAGCUAGUUGGUGAGGUAAUGGCUCACCAAGGCGACGAUCUCUAGCUGGUCUGAGAGGAUGAUCAGCCACACUGGGACUGAGACACGGCCCAGACUCCUACGGGAGGCAGCAGUGGGGAAUAUUGCACAAUGGGCGCAAGCCUGAUGCAGCCAUGCCGCGUGUGUGAAGAAGGCUUUCGGGUUGUAAAGCACUUUCAGUGGGGAGGAAGGCCUCGUAGUUAAUAGCUGCGAGGAUUGACGUUACCCACAGAAGAAGCACCGGCUAACUCCGUG
rnacentral:rRNA from 1 species